rnacentral:rRNA from 1 species
GGCGAACGGGUGAGGAACGCGUAAGAAUCUGCCCCUCGGUCGGGGACAACUCUUGGAAACGAGAGCUAAUACCCGACACGCUGUGGAGUGAAAGAAUUUCGCCGAGGGAUGAUCUUGCGUCUGAUUAGCUAGUUGGUACGGUAAUGGCGUACCAAGGCGACGAUCAGUAGCUGGUUUGAGAGGAUGGACAGCCACAUUGGAACUGAGACACGGUCCAAACUCCUACGGGAGGCAGCAGUGGGGAAUUUUCCGCAAUGGACGAAAGUCUGACGGAGCGACGCUGCGUGAAGGAUGACGGCCCGCGGGUUGUAAACUUCUUUUCUCGAAGAAGAAGCUCUGACGGUAUUCGAGGAAUAAGCAUCGGCCAACUCCGUGCCAGCAGCCGCGGUAAGACGGAGGAUGCAAGUGUUAUUCGGAAUGAUUGGGCGUAAAGAGUCUGUAGGCUGUAUAGAAAGUCUUUUGUUAAAUGCCUCGGCUCAACCGAGAUCAAGCAAAGGAAACUUCUAUACUUGAGGGAAGUAGAGGUACAGGGAAUUCCCGGUGGAGCGGUGAAAUGCGUAGAUAUCGGGAGGAACACCAAUAUAGCGAAGGCACUGUACUGGGCUUUUCCUGACGCUGAGAGACGAAAGCUAAAGGAGUGAUUAGGAUUAGAUACCCUAGUAAUUUUAGCCGUAAACGAUGGAAACUCACUGCCGAGCGAAAUACAACGAGCGGUGGUCAAGCUAACGCGUGAAGUUUCC